rnacentral:rRNA from 1 species
CUAAUACAUGCAAUGUCGAGCGCGGGAAGCAAGCAGAUCUCCUUCGGGGGUGACGCUUGUGGAACGAGCGGCGGACGGGUGAGUAACACGUGGGCAACCUGCCUGUAAGCUUGGGAUAACUCCGGGAAACCGGUGCUAAUACCGAAUAAAACUUCCACUCGCAUGAGUGGAAGGUGAAAGGCGGCUUUUAGCUGUCACUUACAGAUGGGCCUGCGGCGCAUUAGCUAGUUGGUGGGGUAACUGCUUACCAAGGCGACGAUGCGUAGCCGACCUGAGAGGGUGAUCGGCCACACUGGGACUGAGACACGGCCCAGACUCCUACGGGAGGCAGCAGUAGGGAAUCUUCCGCAAUGGGCGAAAGCCUGACGGAGCAACGCCGCGUGUGCGAAGAAGGUCUUCGGAUCGUAAAGCACUGUUGUUAAGGAAGAACGACAGUAAGAGUAACUGCUUACUGUGUGACGGUACUUAACCAGAAAGCCACGGCUAACUACGUGCCAGCAGCCGCGGUAAUACGUAGGUGGCAAGCGUUAUCCGGAAUUAUUGGGCGUAAAGCGCGCGUAGGCGGCGAGAUUAGUCUGAUGUGAAAGCCCCCGGCUCAACCGGGGAAGGUCAUUGGAAACUGUUUCGCUUGAGUGCAGAAGAGGAGAGUGGAAUUCCAUGUGUAGCGGUGAAAUGCGCAGAGAUAUGGAGGAACACCAGUGGCGAAGGCGGC